CCCUAUGAACAGCUUCUUCAUGAAAGAAGGAAAAGAGCAAAGCAGCAAAAACUGGAUGUCCUUUUUAAGCCAAACUCCAAGAAACAAUCAUGAGACAAUGAACCACAGCCAUCCACUACUGGAUUAACUAUUUUUCGCCCUAAACCUGCAAGCACAACUGCACCUGAAGGUGAUGAUGACGACCCUCAGCCCCUCAGCAUUAACAAGAGCAACCACAAAACUUCAUCCCCAUCGAGUCAUCUCGACAUUUUUUCAAGGGCCGACAAGGAAUCUCGCCCAUCCUUCCCAUCUGCUGAUAGUGUGCUAGGAAAUAUUUGAAGGUUGAUGCACAGAUUGUUUGGCUGCUUUAUGAACACACCUUCCUUGGCAAUUAAUUGGGACUCAAACUCGAAGCUUCUGGUCCAGAGGGAGAGAUGCCACCCAUUCAACCACAAGGCUUUGUGGAUUCAAGGUGAAAAACUAAAAUACAUGUUCCUUUUCUCAGAGCUGACGUUUUCCAUUUUAAGGAGCAUCGAUGGUACAAACAGCAGAGCAGUUGAGAUCAGAUCUUAUGUGAAUGAUAUCCUAAUUGUCAUUAACCUUUUACCUUUAUCUCCAAAAUUUUCCUACCCUUUGAUGUGUCCUGUUACAGGUUAAAAUUCUCCAUACGGAGGACAUCAUUCUGCCCUAAUAGAUUCUGACCAACACAUUUAUCUUAUUAUGAGAAAAGCUUAAUCUGCUCUGGCACAAACAUAAAAACCAACUCUCAGCCCUUUACAAGAACAGUCUGAGAUCUGCCCAUUUGACUCAUGCUGAGUCAGGCAAGCACUAUGAAGCUCAGACAACAUCACGUUUGAUGAAGUAAUAUUGAAAUGCGGAUCGUCAAUACAAAAAGUCUCUUCAAGACAUUUAAGCCAACAAUAUGCAAAUUAUGCCACAUCACCUGGAAUGUGACAUUGAAAUAGACUGCAUGCAACCUUUAGGUGUCUUCAUCUGAAUUUUUGGAAAACAGAAUGAAGUCCCAACUCAUAUUUUUAAAAGAGAUUAUGCAGAUUGAAACUUUAAUACGUUGCCGGAGGUCAUUUGUUCUGACUUCAGAGCAGGCCGCAAGUUGCAUAAAGAACAGAACAGUCCA